AUACGGAGGGUGCAAGCGUUGUCCGGAUUUAUUGGGUUUAAAGGGUGUGUAGGCGGUGUAUUAAGUCAGUGGUGAAAGCCUGCGGCUCAACCGUAGAACUGCCAUUGAUACUGACACACUUGAGUAUGGACGAGGUAGGCGGAAUUUAUGGUGUAGCGGUGAAAUGCAUAGAUACCAUAAAGAACACCGAUAGCGAAGGCAGCUUACUAGGCCAUAACUGACGCUGAGGCACGAAAGCGUGGGGAGCGAACAGGAUUAGAAACCCCUGUAGUCC
rnacentral:rRNA from 1 species